AUCUGCCAAGGGACUUCCUCAGAAGCUGCUGAUGUUAGGCUUUGGCUUCCUGCUGUGGACUGAGGGGAUGAACUCCGACGGGAGGACAUUCAGGCCUUGGAGGAAAUGAGAGCUUGGCCGACAGGAGGGCCUGGACUCGCGAAGACACUUGGACACCCACAAGCACAGAGACAUGGGUGUGUGACAACUGACCAAGGGGCAUGCAGGUAUGUAUGCGUGGUGCACACAGACACCCUGGGCACAGCCCACUGGCACCAGUGUCAACCCCUGCGUGGCGGCCUGCAUCCCACCCUUCAGGCAGGCCCUGUGGGGCAGAUUUCAGGGAGGAAGGAGGCUGAGUGGGCAGAGUCUGAGGACGCGGCCACCAUCACUCCCUGGCACUGCAUCUGUGUCCUGGAUCUAGGAGGCAGUCCUCCAUCACUGAGCCCCAAGAUGACUGUCACACCUUGGUCUAAAGCAGGGGCCGGGCCUGAGCCCUGGCCCUUGCCCUGGAGGAGCUCACAGAGCCCCCAGCUGGGGCAUAUCUGGUUUCCAGGGGCAGGGGCGAUACCCAGAGGAGGAAGAAGGGAUUCUGAGAGAGCCCGGCAGGCUCUGAGCCUCAGGCUGGAGCUGAGCUUGGGGCAGCAAGGAAGGACCAGGUGCGAGGGCAGAGCCAUGCGGCCCGACCCCUGCAGCACGGCCUGUGGCCUCCCCCAGCUCCUGCCUGUGCUUCUGGGUCAGUCUGGACUUUGCCACUUCUGAGCAAAAGCCACCGCAAACCCACUCAAGCCAAAAGAGGAAGUGACCAUUAGGCACAACUGGGAAGGCCUGCGGCCGGGGGCGCUCCAGGCGGGGCGAGGGGGACACCCAGGACUCCAGACAGGAGUCCUCAGGUGCCACCUUUCCUCUCUACCUGGCCCUGCGUGGGCCCUGUCCUCCUCAGGGUGGCCUGCCGUAGUCCUCCUCCCCACUCGGAGUUUCCUGUCCCAAAGUUCUAAGGAAAUUUCCAGAACUACAUCUCACCAUCUUGAGUCAGCCUUGGCUCAGUGUCCAUCUCACAGGCCUGGAAGGGGCAGGAGUCAGCACUGUCCAGACCACAGGGCCUGAGUGUGGGGAGGGCAGCCGUCUUAGGAAGGUGGUGGAGGGUUGUUACCCUGAGGCAAGAGGGCUGCAGGGCAGAAAGACACAGCAGGUGACUGUUGUGGGAGGCCCAAGAGAGGCCUGGGAGAGGGAUGGCCCACAAGGGCUGACCCUCCCGCCACCCAGGGGGCUUGAAUAGGUUUCCUCCUGGCAGGGUGACCCUUGUGCAUGGAACCCCUGCGACGACUAAGGCUGGUAGGCAUGAGGUUUCCUGAAGGAGAAAGAGCUUGUGGGGCCCAGUGUGGCUGGGGGGCGCUGGGACUCCAUUCUGAAGCCAAAGGCACUGGGAAGGGCUUCCGCAGAGGAGGGUGCGGCAGGGGUUGCCAGGAACAGCCUGGAUGGCGGCAGGGAACAGAUAAGGUGGGUGGAGGAGUCAGCCGGGAGCCUGGGGCUGGCUCCAGCAUGACGUGGGGGUCUGCAAGGCCCUGGAGAAAGUGGGGUGAUGCAGCAGGGGGCACACCCAUAGCGGAGCUGACCCAGAUGGACAGCUUGGGCUCUGCCACCCGGGACUAGGCAAGGAAGGGGCACGAACAAGCAGGAAGUGGUGAGGCUGUCUCCAGCUCGCUGCUCUCCCCUGCCCAGACUUUGGUUUCCUCCCUGCUGGCCUGGCCUGGCUCCCUGGCUCUGUGUGAUAUGGUCACACCCCCACGCACCCCCUCCACUGAGAUGGGGCAGGAAGAGCACCGAGGCUGCUCUUCCUCUCCUGGGCCGACCUCUGAACAGCAGACGGGGCUAAGCGUUCCCCAGCUCGCCUUCACACACAGCCUGUGCCACCGCGCCAACGGUACCAUGAAGGACGAGGUAGCUCUACUGGCCACUGUCACCCUCCUGGGAGUCCUGCUGCAAGCCUACUUCUCCCUGCAGGUGAUCUCAGCGCGCAGGGCCUUCCGCGUGUCGCCGCCGCUCACCACCGGCCCACCCGAGUUCGAGCGCGUCUACCGAGCCCAGGUGAACUGCAGCGAGUACUUCCCGCUGUUCCUCGCCACGCUCUGGGUCGCCGGCAUCUUCUUUCAUGAAGGGGCGGCGGCCCUGUGCGGCCUGGUCUACCUGUUCGCGCGUCUCCGCUACUUCCAGGGCUACGCGCGCUCCGCGCAGCUCAGGCUGGCACCCCUGUACGCGAGCGCGCGCGCCCUCUGGCUGCUGGUGGCGCUGGCUGCGCUCGGCCUGCUCGCUCACUUCCUCCCGGCCGCGCUGCGCGCCGCGCUCCUCGGACGGCUCCGGACGCUGCUGCCGUGGGCCUGAGACCAAGGCCGCCGGGCCGACGGAGCCGGGAAAGAAGAGCCGGAGCCUCCCGCUGCCCCGGGGAGGGGCGCUCGCUUCCGCAUCCUAGUCUGUAUCAUUAAAGUUCUAGUGACCGAGAC